GACGAACGCUGGCGGCGUGCUUAACACAUGCAAGUCGAACGGAAAGGCCCUGCUUUUGUGGGGUGCUCGAGUGGCGAACGGGUGAGUAACACGUGAGUAACCUGCCCUUGACUUUGGGAUAACUUCAGGAAACUGGGGCUAAUACCGGAUAGGAGCUCCUGCUGCAUGGGGGGGGUUGGAAAGUUUCGGCGGUUGGGGAUGGACUCGCGGCUUAUCAGCUUGUUGGUGGGGUAGUGGCUUACCAAGGCUUUGACGGGUAGCCGGCCUGAGAGGGUGACCGGCCACAUUGGGACUGAGAUACGGCCCAGACUCCUACGGGAGGCAGCAGUGGGGAAUAUUGCACAAUGGGCGGAAGCCUGAUGCAGCAACGCCGCGUGCGGGAUGAAGGCCUUCGGGUUGUAAACCGCUUUCGCCUGUGACGAAGCGUGAGUGACGGUAAUGGGUAAAGAAGCACCGGCUAACUACGUG
rnacentral:rRNA from 1 species